GAUGGGUUACUAAAUGGCCGCAGUAUACUGACUGUGCAAAGGUAGCAUAAUAAAUAGUCUUUUAAUUGGAGGCUGGUAUGAAUGAUAGGAUGUGAUGGAUACUGUCUUUGUAAUAAUUAAUUGAGAUUUACUUUUUGAUGAGAAGGUUAAAAUUUAACUGGUAGACGAGAAGACCCUAUUAAGCUUUAUUAAGUUGAUUGCUUUGUCUGUUUGAUUUGUAAGCGGGUUAUUAAUUUUAGUUUUGUUGGGGCAACAUUUUAAUAUAAAAUAACUUUUUAUUUUUGAAGUAAUAGUUGAUCCGUUAUUAGCGAUUUAGAGAAUAAGUUACUGUAGGGAUAACAGCGUAAUUAGCUCGGAGAGUUCAUAUUGGUGGGUUAGAUUGCGACCUCGAUGUUGGUUUAGUGAAUCUUUGGGGUGUAGAAGCUUUAGGAGAG
rnacentral:rRNA from 1 species